rnacentral:rRNA from 1 species
GGGUCAGUAGGUUGGUCGUGCCACCGGUACGUACUGGUCUCACUGAUUCCUCCUUCCUGAAGAACCGUAAUGCCAUUAAUUUGGUGUUGCGGGGAAACAGGACUGUUACCUUGAAAAAAUUAGAGUGUUUAAAGCAAGCUAACGCUUGAAUACAUUAGCAUGGAAUAAUGAAAUAGGACGAUCGAUCCUAUUUUGCUGGUUUCUAGGAUUGACGUA